AUCUAGAUGACGAAUCCCAAAUAGGACGAAACGAGCGUGCUGUAU
rnacentral:hammerhead_ribozyme from 1 species